AGAGUUUGAUCAUGGCUCAGAAUCAACGCUGGCGGCGUGCCUAACACAUGCAAGUCGAACGAGAAAGUGGAGCAAUCCAUGAGUAAAGUGGCGACCGGGUGAGUAACACGUGACUAACCUACCUUCGAGUGGGGGAUAACUCCGGGAAACCGGAGCUAAUACCGCAUAACAUCGCGAGAUCAAAGCAGCAAUGCGCUGGAAGAGGGGGUCGCGGCUGAUUAGCUAGUUGGCGGGGUAACGGCCCACCAAGGCGAAGAUCGGUAUCCGGCCUGAGAGGGCGCACGGACACACUGGAACUGAAACACGGUCCAGACUCCUACGGGAGGCAGCAGUGGGGAAUUUUGCGCAAUGGGGGAAACCCUGACGCAGCAACGCCGCGUGGAGGAUGAAGCCCUUUGGGGCGUAAACUCCUUUCGACCCGGACGAUGAUGACGGUACGGGUGGAAGAAGCACCGGCUAACUCUGUGCCAGCAGCCGCGGUAAUACAGAGGGUGCAAGCGUUGUUCGGAAUUAUUGGGCGUAAGGGGCGCGUAGGCGGCGCGGUAAGUCACCUGUGAAAUCUCCCGGCUUAACUGGGAGCCUGCAGGCGAAACUAC
rnacentral:rRNA from 1 species